rnacentral:lncRNA from 1 species
UUUUAUGUGUUUGAGUGAUCCUACAGAGCCUGCAUUUCCAAAUGGGUGUGCUCAGUGCCCUUGGCAGAGGAUGGUGCAGCAUCCUGCUGGUUGUUCUCUUCGGAAUUCAUCUCUUGAACAGGGGGAGGGUUGACAAUGGUCAUCGGCAUGACGAGGUCUUCUGAGAGGCGUCCCUUCAUCUCCCUGUGCUCUUGGCAUAACGCACACCAGUGCAUGCAGCAGUGGACCAUGCAGGGGUCGCAUGGGGAAUUCUGCGAAUUCAGCAAAAGGUGUAUGUCAUUAAACAGCCGAGAACAAAUGAAGAAAUUGGUAUCUGUUCUUCAAAACCCAGAAUCCAAACCAUUUAACAGCACAAAAUACAAAAGGCCAAAUGCAGAUUGCAAUCUGGAGCCCCUCAUUCUGAUUCUUCAAGAAUGAAUCCUUUAACAGGUUCCCAUAUGUUUCAGUACAUUCAAUAAUGUUCAUCAAUUUGAUUCUAUCAAAUAAGAUGCUGCAAGUUUUGGUUUUGGACACAUAACAAGGUAAUAUCUUCCAAGAUAAGAUAUGGCAUUCCAGAUGGUGUAGCAAAAUUUUUGCUGUUCCACACAGAGGCAAAUGUUAAUACUUUUCAGCUGUUCUCAUGACAUCCUCUGUAAACACUGGAGUUUCCUAAAAUGAGCAAUUGCCAUUUGUCCUCUUACCUUUUGAGAAUGGGUUAUUCCACAAAUUAGUUUUACCACAUCUGUGAUGGAUGGAAACAGUGAUCAUGCAACUGUUAGGCCUUGAUGGUUUUCAUUACAAAACUAACAGGAUUAGGGAUCAUGGAUGGUUCUAAAACAUGCAUCAUGAAAAAGAACAUAAUCAUAGAAUCAAAAUUCAAGACCAGAUGCUUUCAGGAGAUUGUAGGUACUCCAAUAGCAGAAAUACCAUCGAACAUUUUCAGCUAAGAGCCACCCUUAAGCAUGACUUUUUAUUUUCCCCAGUCUCAAUAUGUAAUUCACUAAAGACUAUGGUUGUUUUAACAAUGGAGAGGCCAGAAUUGCCCAAAUUCAAAACAAUGCAAAGAGCUUUGACUGCCCAAAGAGACAAGGGUUGGUUUCUAGAAAAAUCCUUUUCCUUUUGAGUAAGCAAAGUUGGAGAUUCAGUGCAUGACAUGUUUUAUAGAAAUAAAAAUAUUUCAUGAUUUUGUUCUUCAGUGAAAAGAAUCAAUUAGCAUGUCUUUCUGUAUAUACUGCAUGUGGUUAAAUGUAAGCCAUAUGAUUGUCUGAUAAGUGCCUUUUAAGUGAAAAAUUAUUAUAUUUCAGGGACCUCGUGACACAGGGAAAUCAGGAUCACCUGGAGAUGAUAUUUCUUCUGUAGUGAUUGCCGAACUAGACCAGUGUAUAUGCCACACAUCCACCAAGCAAACAACAGACCCUCACAGAUGAGAAAUGAUGUCCUUGGAUCGAUACCAUGGAAG